AGCAGUAAGGCAAAGCAGAGCAGCCGCUAGGCAGAGCAGCAGUGGUUCCACGUAAGACGAAGUAGCAGUCACCGCCGCGCCACAGCACACGGAACCCUGUGAUAAGACAAUAAGGAGACACACUGGUAACAUACAGGCUAUGUCUGGACCACGUGACCCCAUCCUCCCCGCUUUAUAGGGCUGUCCAGUCUCUAUCCACACAGAGGGCCUCGCUGAAGACUCCCACCAUACUGAUCCCCGAUGAGUCAGAGCAGAACAGCCCGUGUCAGGACAUGCUUCUGCCUAAGAACCGAAUUCUAACAGAAGUUUAGGAGGAACCCAACUAAGGGCACAAGGCA